rnacentral:rRNA from 1 species
GCCGCGGUAAUUCCAGCUCCAAUAGCGUAUAUUAAAGUUGUUGCAGUUAAAAAGCUCGUAGUUGAAUUUUGGGGUUCCACCGUUGGUCGGGCAAUAGUCUGUACUGGCGUGUGGAAUUUCUACCUUCUGGGGAACCAUCAUGUUAUUUAUUUAGCGUGGUGGGAAACCAGGACCUUUACCUUGAAAAAAUUAGAGUGUUCAAAGCAGGCUUACGUCUGAAUACAUUAGCAUGGAAUAAUAAAAUAGGACGGUGGUCCUGUUUUGUUGGUUUCUGAAUCACCGUAAUGAUUAAUAGGGAUAGUUGGGGGCAUUAGUAUUCAAUUGUCAGAGGUGAAAUUCUUGGAUUUAU